rnacentral:rRNA from 1 species
GAUGAACGCUGGCGGCGUGCCUAAUACAUGCAAGUCGAGCGAACAGACGAGGAGCUUGCUCCUCUGACGUUAGCGGCGGACGGGUGAGUAACACGUGGAUAACCUACCUAUAAGACUGGGAUAACUUCGGGAAACCGGAGCUAAUACCGGAUAAUAUAUUGAACCGCAUGGUUCAAUAGUGAAAGACGGUUUUGCUGUCACUUAUAGAUGGAUCCGCGCCGCAUUAGCUAGUUGGUAAGGUAACGGCUUACCAAGGCAACGAUGCGUAGCCGACCUGAGAGGGUGAUCGGCCACACUGGAACUGAGACACGGUCCAGACUCCUACGGGAGGCAGCAGUAGGGAAACUUCCGCAAAGGGCGAAAGCUUGACGGAGCAACGCCGCGUGAGUGAUGAAGGUCUUCGGAUCGUAAAACUCUGUUAUUAGGGAAGAACAAAUGUGUAAGUAACUAUGCACGUCUUGACGGUACCUAAUCAGAAAGCCACGGCUAACUACGUG